GCUCGAGUGGCGAACGGGUGAGUAACACGUGAGUAACCUGCCCUUGACUUUGGGAUAACUUCAGGAAACUGGGGCUAAUACCGGAUAGGAGCUCCUGCUGCAUGGCGGGGGUUGGAAAGUUUCGGCGGUUGGGGAUGGACUCGCGGCUUAUCAGCUUGUUGGUGGGGUAGUGGCUUACCAAGGCUUUGACGGGUAGCCGGCCUGAGAGGGUGACCGGCCACAUUGGGACUGAGAUACGGCCCAG
rnacentral:rRNA from 1 species